CCAAUAGCGUAUAUUAAAGUUGUUGUGGUUAAAAAGCUCGUAGUUGAACCUUGGGCCUGGCUGGCCGGUCCGCCUCACCGCGUGUACUGGUCCGGCCGGGCCUUUCCCUCUGUGGAACCUCAUGCCCUUCACUGGGUGUGACGGGGAAGCAGGACUUUUACUGUGAAAAAAUUAGAGUGCUCCAAGCAGGCCUAUGCUCGAAUACAUUAGCAUGGAAUAAUAAAAUAGGACGUGCGGUUCUAUUUUGUUGGUUUCUAGGACCGCCGUAAUGAUUAAUAGGGACAGUCGGGGGCAUCAGUAUUCAAUUGUCAGAGGUGAAAUUCUUGGAUUUAUUGAAGACUAACUACUGCGAAAGCAUUUGCCAAGGAUGUUUUCAUUAAUCAGGAACGAAAGUUAGGGGAUCGAAGACGAUCAGAUACCGUCGUAGUCUUAACCAUAAACGAUGCCAACCAGCGAUUAGCCUGAGUUCCUUAAAUGACUCGGCUAGCAGCUUCCG
rnacentral:misc_RNA from 1 species